rnacentral:rRNA from 1 species
UACAGAGGUCUCAAGCGUUGUUCGGAUUCAUUGGGCGUAACGGGUGCGUAGGCGGCGCGGUAAGUCGGGUGUGAAAUCUCGGAGCUUAACUCCGAAACUGCAUUCGAUACUGCCGUGCUUGAGGACUGGAGAGGAGACUGGAAUUUACGGUGUAGCGGUGAAAUGCGUAGAUAUCGUAAGGAAGACCAGUGGCGAAGGCGGGUCUCUGGGCAACUCCUGACGCUGAGGCGCGAAAGCGUGGGGAGCAAACGGG